rnacentral:rRNA from 1 species
CGGACGGGUGAGUAACGCGUGGAAAACCUGCCGUAUACUGGGGGAUAACACUUAGAAAUAGGUGCUAAUACCGCAUAAGCGCACAGCUUCGCAUGAAGCGGUGUGAAAAACUCUGGUGGUAUACGAUGGUUCCGCGUCUGAUUAGCUAGUUGGUGGGGUAAUGGCCUACCAAGGCAACGAUCAGUAGCCGGCCUGAGAGGGUGAACGGCCACAUUGGGACUGAGACACGGCCCCAACUCCUACGGAAGGCAGCAG